rnacentral:rRNA from 1 species
AAUGAACGCUGGCGGCAGGCCUAACACAUGCAAGUCGAACGGAUCCUUCGGGUUUAGUGGCGGACGGGUGAGUAACGCGUGGGAACAUACCCUUUGGUACGGAAUAGCCUCGGGAAACUGGGAGUAAUACCGUAUGUGGUCGAUAGACGAAAGAUUUAUCGCCAAAGGAUAGGCCCGCGUUUGAUUAGGUAGUUGGUGGGGUAAUGGCCUACCAAGACGGCGAUCCAUGUCUGGUUUGAGAGGAUGAUCGGCCACACUGGGACUGAGACACGGCCCAGAAUCCUAGGAGAAGCAGCAGUGGGGAAUCUUGGACAAGGGGGGGAACCCUGAUCUAACCAUGCCGCGUGAUCGAUGAAGGCCUUAGGGUUGUAAGGAUCUGUCAGGUGGGAAGAUAAUGACUGUACCACCAGAAGAAGCCCCGGCUUACUCCGUGCCAGCCGCCGCCGUAAAAC